rnacentral:rRNA from 1 species
GUGGGGAGCAAACAGGAUUAGAUACCUGGUAGUCACGCUGUAAACGAUGUCGAUUUGGAGGUUGUUCCCUUGAGGAGUGGCUUCCGGAGCUAACGCGUUAAAUCGACCGCUGGGGAGUACGGCCGCAAGGUUAAAACUCAAAUGAAUUGACGGGGGCCCGCACAAGCGGUGGAGCAUGUGGUUUAAUUCGAUGCAACGCGAAGAACCUUACCUACUCUUGACAUCCAGAGAAUUUAGCAGAGAUGCUUUAGUGCCUUCGGGAACUCUGAGACAGGUGCUGCAUGGCUGUCGUCAGCUCGUGUUGUGAAAUGUUGGGUUAAGUCCCGCAACGAGCGCAACCCUUAUCCUUUGUUGCCAGCACAUUAUGGUGGGAACUCAAAGGAGACUGCCGGUGAUAAGCCGGAGGAAGGUGGGGAUGACGUCAAGUCAUCAUGGCCCUUACGAGUAGGGCUACACACGUGCUACAAUGGCGUAUACAAAGAGAAGCGACCUCGCGAGAGCAAGCGGAACUCAUAAAGUACGUCGUAGUCCGGAUUGGAAUCUGCAACUCGACUCCAUGAAGUCGGAAUCGCUAGUAAUCGUAGAUCAGAAUGCUACGGUGAAUACGUUCCCGGGCCUUGUACACACCGCCCGUCACACCAUGGGAGUGGGUUGCAAAAGAAGUAGGUAGCUUAACCUUCGGGAGGGCGCUUACCACUUUGUGAUUCAUGACUGGGGUGAAGUCGUAACAAGGUAACCA